CCUACGGGAGGCAGCAGUGGGGAAUAUUGCGCAAUGGGCGAAAGCCUGAUGCAGCCAUGCCGCGUGUGUGAAGAAGGCCUUAGGGUUGUAAAGCACUUUCAAUUGGGAAGAAAAGUUUGUCGUUAAUAGCCCCAAGCUGUGACGUUACCUUCAGAAGAAGCACCGGCUAACUCCGUGCCAGCAGCCGCGGUAAUACGGAGGGUGCGAGCGUUAAUCGGAAUUACUGGGCGUAAAGCGCGCGUAGGCGGUUUGUUAAGUCAGAUGUGAAAGCCCCGGGCUCAACCUGGGAACUGCAUUUGAUACUGGCCGACUAGAGUACGAGAGAGGGAGGUGGAAUUUCAUGUGUAGCGGUGAAAUGCGUAGAUAUAUGGAGGAACACCAGUGGCGAAGGCGGCCUCCUGGCUCGAUACUGACGCUGAGGUGCGAAAGCGUGGGGANCAAACAGGAUUAGAUACCCUGGUAG
rnacentral:rRNA from 1 species